rnacentral:rRNA from 1 species
AUUGAACGCUGGCGGCAGGCCUAACACAUGGAAGUCGAGUGGAGCGGCGGACGGGUGAGUAAUGCCUAGGAAUCUGCCUGGUAGUGGGGGAUAACGUCCGGAAAAGGGCGCUAAUACCGCAUACUAUCAGAUGAGCCAAGGGCGGAUGAGCUAGUUGGUGGGGUGAAGGCCUACCAAGGCGACGAUCCGUAACUGGUCUGAGAGGAUGAUCAGUCACACUGGAACUUAGACACGGUCCAGACUCCUCCGGGAGUCAGCAUUGGGGAAUCUUCCGCAAGGGACGAAAGUCUGACGUAGCAACGCCGCGUGAGUGAUGACGGCCUUCGGGUUGUAAAGCUCGUUAAGCGGGUCGACGGUACCGGAAUGGAAGGCCACGGCUAACUACGUGCCAGCCGCCGCGGUAAUAC